CUUGCUUGCGUCGGCGGUUACGCAAAUUUGACGUCAGGAGAUUGGAAUAAUACCAUAUUGGAAUAGUUUUACGUUAUAGGACCCCUGUUUUCCGUUUAACCGUUGGCUUCUUGACCAAUCCCCAGUAGUGGGUACGCGCCAUGGUAUAGGAAGCAAGCAAGCAAGCAAGCAAGCAAGCAAGCAACGUCGCUCUCGGCUCUCGUCGAACAAUGGGUAUCGGAAACGGAGACGUUCGGCACUUCCAUGACGACCGGAGGCAGUCGUUCCAGCUUGAGCAGUGCUGACAUGGCCACAGGCCGACACAGUUCUCGCGACACCCGCUACCUGACCCCUGCGGUACCGAUUCUCAUGAGGGUCAUCGAGGAGCAGGUAGUCGCCCAGAGGUGCGCAAGGACAUACCGGUGCUCAGCGAGAGUGGGGCUAUAUCGUCGCGUUGUUCAUGCUGAUGGCCACAGGCUCCCUCGUCACCUACGUCGUUCUCACCAACUCAGGCGUCAUCGAUGGCGGCUCCAAGAGCAAGACGCGCUCGCACGUCAACACAACAGCGCCCCAGCCGACCGCCUCCCCCACAACUGUGGGCGGUGCAUUCUCGAGUUCUAACACUGACUCGACACCGACCACGUGACUGGGAACCACGGGAAAGCGAGGACGCCGACAACUACGCCAUCUGGGAGGCGGGGCUUGCCAGCGAGCAACACGACUCGCACAUUUCUACGAAACGUUGCGCGGCUGAACUUGAGUGAUACACAAUGACAGGGCACUCGCUCUAACUAGUGACAGCCAGACAGUUUCUUCAAGAAUUCCGACUUUUAAUUUUUUUCGCCUUACGGUUCGAUUACAGUUUGCGCAAAACUUCAAUGGUUGUGACCGUAUCCGUGCAAUUGGUAGGUGGCAUAUGUAGGUGCAGGGGAAAUUUAGCCAUGCAAUGUGUGAUAUUGAGAUGAAAAAAGUACAUGCGUUGCCUGAAUUAGUAUUGUACCACGCGUGAAAUAUGAAUGUCAUUUCGCCGUAUUUUUAUUGAACGAUACCUCUAAACCAUAGGCAUUCUAGAGAGGAUAGUUGCGCAAACUCUACGCCAGAGUAUACAGUGUUAGCUAAUACAGUAUUGCAAAAAACAAAACAAAAAACGUUGACAUUCGGGAAAGAGAUAAGCUGGAUUCCUCAGUAUAAGUGAUAUCUUUACGGUGGGUAAAGUAAGUGACGGUUGGUGAUGGUGACUGGUAAAUCCGCAAAGCUAGUUUACGUUCGCAAUACUUGGUACUGGCAAUGUGAUGUUUCAGCAAUCUGUGAAUAAGCUUUUAUAAACUUCGCCUAGUAAGUAGGCAAUCUGAAAGCCAACUUCAUUAUCGACUAAAACAUUUCAAUGAUUGUCUUCUUCGAUUUAGCGUUUGGUCUUGUUUAAUAAAAAUAAAAGUAAUAAGAAAUGAA